GAUGAUUCAAAGGUAGCUUAUGAUUUAGCAUCCAAGGGAAAUAAAGAGGAACUCCAAUGUCAUUGUGUUAACCAGGUGGAGAGGGUUAUGGAUUUAUGGAACAAUAAUGAUGAGUUCCGAAAAGAAUACACCAGAUGCAACAUGAGGAGUACAGUGAGGAGAUUGCGAACAUUAGAUGGUCGUUCACUUGGCCCUGAUGAGACCUGCAAUUCCCAAUGUAGUUAGUGAAAGAAUAGCCAAGGACAACAUUGUACCUUCCAUUUCCACUCUUGAAGGUGAAAAAAUAAUUGCUCCCGUGGGGACAGAAAAGAUGGAUGAUAAAUCCAUAGCAAAGGUUGGGGACCAAAAUAACCCGACAGCUAAAUCUAAAAAAUCUGCAAAACAUGCUCCUUUGGCAACUGUUUCUGGCAGGAAUGAGAUUGAUGAAGCAGGGCAAAAGGAGGAUAAGCAAACAAAGGAGG
rnacentral:misc_RNA from 1 species